UAAAGUAGAAAAAGUAAAGUAUUCUCUCUCUAAGACAAAAAACUCUCUCCGUACAUUUAGCCGUUAUUUACAAUAAACGGUAACUUUUAGACGAUCUCCGCCACGCACCACCGCAUGGCACCGUCGAACGGAGUCGACUCGGCGCGUACAAGUGGCCAUCAGGAAGCAAACAUCAAGGAGAAUCAAGCUGUGGAUCUCAAUCAAACAAAAAAAUCCUAUGCUAUGACUAUUACAACAGCAACUCCGAUGCCUACCCCCAAUAUGAGGCACCCUAGAGAAUCAGUAAUCGCCAGGCAUACCACCCACAAUGGAAUGCCAGCAGUGAUUUUUAAAGUCAAAGACUACUAUGGAUCAUGGCGGAUGAAUGCAGAUUGACAAUUGUGGGUAGAUUCUUGAAACUACGGCCCCAAAUUGAAAAAAUUAGGGCUACCUUCAGAGAAAGAUUCCCUGUUAAAGGUUGAGCCAAAAUUGGUGUCUAUGAUAAUUAUAAUGUCUUUCUGGACUUCACAAAUGAGGAUGAUUUCAACUCAAUCUGGUAUAGAAGAGUUGUAGAAAGCGAUGGCCUUCAAAUGUGACUGCGAAAGUGGACUCCGGACUUCAAGCUGGAUGAAGACAUCCCAAUAGUUCCGGUAUGGAUUUUACUUCCUGGGGUACCUUUUAACAUGCAUAAUUGGCAUUAUGCUAAACAAAUUUGUAGUGAAAUUGGAACCCCUUUAGCACUAGAUGUUGCGGCUGGUGGUAAAACGAGGCCGAGUAUGGUAAAAGCUAGAGUGGAGAUAGAUCUCCUUAAAUCUCUUGUUGAAAGUGUGUUUGUAGGAUCCGAAGAUGAGAAUGCUCCUCUUAGAGGUUUCACUCAAAAAAUUGAAUAUGAAAGUAUUCCCAAGUAUUGUAAGCAAUGAAAGAAAUUGGGGCAUAACUUGAUGAACUGUAGGGUCUUUGAAAGAAAGAGAGGUACUGAAACAGGGGAAGCUGAGAAGAAAGAGAACUUGACAAAUGAGAAUGGGGAUAACAGUGGAGUCCAAAAAGAGGAAAAGGAAGGGCAAAGAAAGGAAAAACAGGAGAAACAUCUAGCUUUGGCAGAAAACAAGAAGGCUACUACUACUCAAAUUCAGAUUAAAGGCAAGGAAAAAGAAGGCAAUUGUGAAGAUGCUAAUGAGGAAAAACAAGUGAAGACACAACAUAGAUUCAAAACUACUCUAGGACACUAUACUCCGGAUAACAAGAGGCAAAUCAAACAUCCAUUAAGGACAGAACAAACAAGAGAAAGAAGAAGAAUAAGAGUAAGCAAAAGAAGAUGCCCAAGAAAAAAAAGCAAAGUUGUUUUCAAACCUACUCAAUUUCAAAAAAAAAACCAAACAAGAUACUAGUUCCAGGAACUCUACCAAUCAGGAGCAGACAAUAGAAGGAGGGAACAAGGAGACUAAUAACAGCUACAAUAAAGAAAGACAAGGGACCAAUGGUCACAACAAUCGAACCAUCUUUAUGAUUAAGGAAAGCUCUAUAAAUGAAAAUGCCCAAGAAGAUCAGUGUCACAAGGUUGUUAUCGACAGUGAAGAGUCCAGUAAUGCGAAAGAACAUUCGAGCAUAGUGGUUAACCAACAAGCUAAACACAAAACACAAAUAAGAGGGGAAAACAGAAAUGGAGAAGUGGCACAGAUUGAUAGCACAUGCUCGACAUGUUUGCCAAUCAAUAUCAUUGAACAACCUGGUACUCAACUGAUGGUGGAACUUUACGCAUAUCAGGAACAUGGCUUACACAACAAUUUGAAGGAAGUUAUUAAACAUUCAGAGCAAGAGCCAAUUUCAAAUCACAAUAUGAGAGAUCCUGAGCAACAAAAAAAAGGCAGUCAAGAAGACAAAAAUUUUGAAGAGGAGGACUACAUAGAAGGGGCAGAAUCAGGGCAAGAUGACCUAAUAAGAAAAAAAAAUCAAAAACACAUCCUCAGCAAAGAGGAAACAACAGACAGAUAUCUCCCCUAAAAUUGUUCUAUGAUUAGUACAAUCUUCUGGAAUAUUAGAGGGGUGAGGUCAAAGAAGGCCAUUCAUAGGCUGAAAAAGCUUAUAGACAUCAACAACAUUAUUUUUACAGCAAUCAUGGAACCUAUGGUAGACAAAAACAAGGUUGAGGGCUACAGAAAAUUCUUGGGAUUUCAAAAUUGUAUCUCUAAUGACAAUGGAAAAGUAUGGUGUUUCUGGAAGAACAUUAGCAAUGUCAUAGUUACCUUCAAUGAUGAAUAACAUAUCACUAUUCAGGUUGAAGAUUGUAAUGAACAUCCUCCCAUCAAUAUCACAUCCAUUUAUGCUAAAUGUACUGCUGCGGAAAGAAGAGAUCUUUGGUGCAGUCUUGAGGAAAUAAGCCUAGAUAUUAAGGGUCCUUGGUGCAUUGGAUGAGACUUCAAUGUCAUCUUAGAUCCAGAGGGAAAACUGGGUGGCAAACCUCACAGAAUGCAUAGGAGCCUUGAAUUCAAUAAUUGUAUGGACAAUUGUGGCACUACUGAUUUAGGAUAUACCGGUCCUAAAUUUACUUGGUGCAAUAAUAGGUGUCCAAGGAAGAGAAUUUGGAAAAGACUUGACAGAAUAUUCAUCAACGACAAGUGGAGUAAAAGAUUCCAUAUUACUAAUGUCAAACACUUCGUGAGGACUAGCUCAGAUCACACGUCCUUACUCAUGAAAGCCUUUGAUCAAGCAGGUAAGCACACUUCCUACUUUAAAUUCCUUAAUUUCUUGACUAAGCAGGAAGACUUUUAUAACAUUGCCAAGGAAGUUUGGAGUACCAACAUUGAUGGCAACAAUAUAUGGAGACUUCAAUCCAAGCUAAAGCUGUUGAGUAGGAGACUAAGUCAGUGGUCUAGACAAGAAGUGGGGGACAUUCAUAAACAGGUUCUUAAAUGGGAAGAAAAAGUUCAAUGCCUUAAAGAGAUUGAGUUAACCAAUAACUCUGAAUAUGACAGAGAAGAAACAAAUAAGGCGCAUGCGGAGUACAUGAGAUGGCUUCAUAUGCAAGACUCCUUCUUCUUCAAAAAACCAAUAUAAAAUGGUUUGAGGAGGGAGAUAUAAAUACAAGGUACUUCCAUGGUAUCUCGAAGAAGAAAGCUUCAGGUGAAUAGGAUUAAAAAUCAUAAGGAUAAAUGGAUUCAGGGAGAGGAGAAAACAGCAAAAGUAGCUAUCAGACACUUCAACAAAAUUUUCAACCUUCCAACUUCAAGUAUUGAUCCUACUAUUCUAAAUUGCAUCACCAAAAGGAUCACUGAUGAAAAUAGAAACAGGAUGGAUGAGAUUCCUAGUGAGGAAGAGAUAAAAAAUGCAGUAUUUGAUCUGUAGGCUACAAGUACUGCUGGGCCAGAUGGAUUCAAUGGUACUUUUUUCAAAGCUGUUGGGACAUCAUCAAGGUAGACAUCAAUAUUGUUGUGUGGGACUUCUUCAAAGGUUGAUUACAUGAAGCAUAAAUACUGUCCGAGGUCUCAUUUGGUGAGUAAGAAAAAAUCUGAUAAGGACUCACAUGAAUAGCAAAAUUUGAGGAAAAUCAGAGACAACACAGAACCUCAUAUCCUGUGGCUUAUAAACUCUGGAAACUCCAGCAUGUGGUGGGAUAAUUGGACAGG